GUCUUUUUGAUAANUAANUUUAAAGUCUAGUCUGCCCAAUGNANNAUUANUUGAAUGGCCGCGGNNUAUUUUGACUGUGCAAAGGUAGCAUAAUAAUUAGUUUUUUAAUUGAAAGCUGGUAUGAAUGGCUGAACGAGAAAAUUACUGUCUCAAGUUNAAAUUUAUUAAAACUUUAUUUUUAAGUUAAAAAGCUUAAAUAUAAUUAAAAGACGAGAAGACCCUAUAGAGUUUNAAUAAUUUAAUUANAUUNNUUNUANUUUUAGNAAUUNANNNAUUUAAUUNGAUUUAAUUAUUUUAUUGGGGUGAUAUAUAAAUUUAAUUAACUUUANUNAAAUNUUUUUACAUUUUUUUAUGAUUAAGUGAUCCAUUAAUNAAUGAUUAUAAGAUUUAAUUACCUUAGGGAUAACAGCGUAAUCUUUUUAAAGAGUUCUAAUCGAAAAAAAGGAUUGCGACCUCGAUGUUGGAUUAAAAUUAAUGUUUGGUGUAGAAGCUNAANAUAAUUAGGUCUGUUCGACCUUUAAAAUUUUACAUGAUCUGAGUUUAAAUCGGUGUGACCCAGGUUGGUUUCUAUCUUUAAUAA
rnacentral:rRNA from 1 species